UUAGAGUUUGAUCCUGGCUCAGAACGAACGCUGGCGGCAGGCCUCAAACAUGCAAGUCUAGGGGGCGUAGCAAUACGUCACCGGCGGACGGGUGCGUAACACGUGGGAAUGUACCUAUUGGUUCGGAACAACUGCGGGAAACUGCAGCUAAUACCGAAUGUGCCCUUCGGGGGAAAGAUUUAUCGCCAAUAGAUCAGCCCGCGUUCGAUUAGCUAGUUGGUGAGGUAACGGCUCACCAAGGCGACGAUCAGUAGCUGGUCUGAGAGGAUGAUCAGCCACAUUGGGACUGAGACACGGCCCAAACUCCUACGGGAGGCAGCAGUGGGGAAUAUUGGACAAUGGGCGCAAGCCUGAUCCAGCCAUGCCGCGUGAGUGAUGAAGGCCCUAGGGUUGUAAAGCUCUUUUGUGCGGGAAGAUAAUGACGGUACCGCAAGAAUAAGCCCCGGCUAACUUCGUGCCAGCAGCCGCGGUAAUCGC
rnacentral:rRNA from 1 species